rnacentral:piRNA from 1 species
UGAUUGUGUAAUUAUACCAAUAACUUCGCCU